AUUGAACGCUGGCGGCAGGCUUAACACAUGCAAGUCGAGCGGGGUGAUGUAGCUUGCUACAUUACCUAGCGGCGGACGGGUGAGUAAUGCUUAGGAAUCUGCCUAUUAGUGGGGGACAACAUUCCGAAAGGAAUGCUAAUACCGCAUACGCCCUACGGGGGAAAGCAGGGGAUCUUCGGACCUUGCGCUAAUAGAUGAGCCUAAGUCAGAUUAGCUAGUUGGUGGGGUAAAGGCCUACCAAGGCGACGAUCUGUAGCGGGUCUGAGAGGAUGAUCCGCCACACUGGGACUGAGACACGGCCCAGACUCCUACGGGAGGCAGCAGUGGGGAAUAUUGGACAAUGGGCGCAAGCCUGAUCCAGCCAUGCCGCGUGUGUGAAGAAGGCCUUUUGGUUGUAAAGCACUUUAAGCGAGGAGGAGGCUACUUGGAUUAAUACUCUAGGAUAGUGGACGUUACUCGCAGAAUAAGCACCGGCUAACUCUGUGCCAGCCGCCGCCGUAACAC
rnacentral:rRNA from 1 species